CAAUAGUCUUCAAAAGAAAUGUAGUCAAUCAUUUUACUUCUACAGUGACAUGGUAGAGGCAGACUAAUGACCGUCGUAACUUCACAAUUAAAAACAACAAAUAUGGAUCAGCACACACACACACACACACAAAUAUUUAAACUAUUUCAAAUCCGGUCCUGAUUCCAAAAAGAGUAACUCAAUAGCUUGCCCUUUGAGAUUUCAUGUUUACAUCUCAAAAUGUUUUUUUUUCUCACUUGUGCCAUUACAGACUGAACCCACACAUAAGGGCAGUCCAGAACCGAAAUGCCGGCAAGUUCUUUCUGCACGAGAAAAAGCUACUCUGGACGAUUGCUUAAUUUGGUUCUGGGCUGCCCCUAUGGGUGGGAUCAGUCUUAUACGCAAAUUGUAUGGGUUCUCUUUGUAGUGGCACAUGUGAUCAAAAACUAUUUUAAAACCUGAGCGGAGAGUAACUGAAGGGCAAGCUGACUUUCUCUAAGUUUUUGCCCCUUCUCAGAGUUUUCAUAUUAUCUGUUUUGUAUCAGCUUGUAUUGUCUCAUACAAUAGGUUUCAUACAACAUUUUACUGUUAUCACGCCACGCAUCCCACCAUUUUAGGAAAAUACAGAUGCUGAUUUGAUUAAUUUAAAAACUAAAUUCAAAAAAUAUAUAGUGGUACCUUGGUUUAUUGCGAAAAAUUCGUAAACCGAAACGUGGUUUCCCAUAGGAAUGCACAUUGAAAACCAAUUCAUACGUUUCGGAGGUCAGAAAAAAGUAAAAAUGAGCUGGCAUGGAAACCAACCCACAAUGUAGCUCCCUACCUUUCCACCGCUUUAGAAAUUCACCAAAAAAGUUCCAAAAAGGCCCAAAACCGCUGCAAACAAUUUCCAGAAUGGCUCCAAAACUCGAUGCAAAAAACACUCCAACACCUCCACACUCGAUGCCACGUGCUACCCACAGACUUCAGCAUGCACGGGGGCGGCGCUAUAAACCUCCCAUGUGCAAUGCAUCCUUGCUUCGUAUUGCGAAAAUCAUUAGUAAACCGAGGCAUUAUUUUCAAUGGAUUUUCAUUUGUAAACCGAAAAUUAUGUUAACCGAGGCGUUUGUAAACCGAGGUACAACUGUAUAUAUUUUUAAAACUGUUAAAAUUAGUUCCUUUCCUUAAAAUGUUAUGGAUUUUAAAAUGAUAUAUUCAUAGUCUAACCAUUAGACAAUAUAUGUGAAUGGACUAACCAAAAAGGCAUAUGCAUUACACAGAUUGCAACAGUUCUGUGUGUAUAAAGAGUAUUUUGGGGGCAAAGUUCUAAAAGUGGAGUAAUCGCCAUGGUAACCGAUGUAAUGUCCCUGCUGACUGCUCCACCUUUAGCAUUUUCUUCAC